rnacentral:rRNA from 1 species
GUGGGGAAUCUUAGACAAUGGGGGAAACCCUGAUCUAGCCAUGCCGCGUGAGCGAUGAAGGCCUUAGGGUUGUAAAGCUCUUUCAGCUGGGAAGAUAAUGACUGUACCAGCAGAAGAAGCCCCGGCUAACUCCGUGCCAGCAGCCGCGGUAAUACGGAGGGGGCUAGCGUUGUUCGGAAUUACUGGGCGUAAAGCGCACGUAGGCGGACCGGAAAGUAAGAGGUGAAAUCCCAGGGCUCAACCUUGGAACUGCCUUUGAAACUCCUGGUCUUGAGGUCGAGAGAGGUGAGUGGAAUUCCGAGUGUAGAGGUGAAAUUCGUAGAUAUUCGGAGGAACACCAGUGGCGAAGGCGGCUCACUGGCUCGAUACUGACGCUGAGGUGCGAAAGCGUGGGGAGCAAACAGGAUUAGAAACCCUUGUAGUCC